rnacentral:rRNA from 1 species
CCUACGGGUGGCAGCAGUGAGGAAUAUUGGUCAAUGGACGAGAGUCUGAACCAGCCAAGUAGCGUGAAGGAUGACUGCCCUAUGGGUUGUAAACUUCUUUUAUAUGGGAAUAAAACGUUCCACGUGUGGGAUUUUGUAUGUACCAUAUGAAUAAGGAUCGGCUAACUCCGUGCCAGCAGCCGCGGUAAUACGGAGGAUCCGAGCGUUAUCCGGAUUUAUUGGGUUUAAAGGGAGCGUAGGUGGAUUGUUAAGUCAGUUGUGAAAGUGUGCGGAUCAACCGUAAAAUUGCAGUUGAAACUGGCAGUCUUGAGUACAGUAGAGGUGGGCGGAAUUCGUGGUGUAGCGGUGAAAUGCUUAGAUAUCACGAAGAACUCCGAUUGCGAAGGCAGUUCACUGGACUGCAACUGACACUGAGGCUCGAAAGUGUGGGUAUCAAACAGGAUUAGAUACCCCAGUAGUC